GUGCCAGCCGCCGCGGUAAUACGAAGGGACCUAGCGUAGUUCGGAAUUACUGGGCUUAAAGAGCUCGUAGGUGGUUAAAAAAGUUGAUGGUGAAAUCCCAAGGCUCAACCUUGGAACUGCCAUCAAAACUUUUUAGCUAGAGUGUGAUAGAGGUAAGUGGAAUUUCUAGUGUAGAGGUGAAAUUCGUAGAUAUUAGAAAGAACACCAAAUGCGAAGGCAACUUACUGGGUCACUACUGACACUGAGGAGCGAAAGCAUGGGUAGCGAAGAGGAUUAGAUACCCUCGUAGUCCAUGCCGUAAACGAUGUGUGCUAGACGUUGGAAAUAUAUUUUUCAGUGUCGCAGCGAAAGCAUUAAGCACACCGCCUGGGGAGUACGACCGCAAGGUUAAAACUCAAAUGAAUUGGCGG
rnacentral:rRNA from 1 species